GAACUGAAGAGUUUGAUCAUGGCUCAGAUUGAACGCUGGCGGCAGGCCUAACACAUGCAAGUCGAGCGGUAGAGAGAAGCUUGCUUCUCUUGAGAGCGGCGGACGGGUGAGUAAUGCCUAGGAAUCUGCCUGGUAGUGGGGGAUAACGUUCGGAAACGGACGCUAAUACCGCAUACGUCCUACGGGAGAAAGCAGGGGACCUUCGGGCCUUGCGCUAUCAGAUGAGCCUAGGUCGGAUUAGCUAGUUGGUGGGGUAAUGGCUCACCAAGGCG
rnacentral:rRNA from 1 species